GUUAUCGACUUCCACCCCAGUCGCUGACCCUACCGUGGUCGACUGCCUCCUUGCGGUUAGCGCAUCGCCUUCUGGAAAACCAACUCCCAUGGUGUGACGUGGGGUGUGUACUAGGCCCGGGAAUUAUUCACCGCGGCAGAAAGAUCCGCAAUUACUAACGUUUGAACUUGAUGCACGGAAAA
rnacentral:rRNA from 1 species